UACGUAGGGACCGAGCGUUGUCCGGAAUCAUUGGGCGUAAAGAGCGUGUAGGCGGCUUGCUAAGUCUUGCGUGAAAUCUCGGGGCUCAACCCCGAGCGGUCGUGGGAAACUGGCAGGCUAGAGUGCGGGAGAGGAGAAUGGAAUUCCUGGUGUAGCGGUGAAAUGCGUAGAGAUCGGGAGGAACACCAGUGGCGAAGGCGGCUGCGCUGGGCCGGUCCUGACACUGAGGCACGAAGGCCAGGGGAGCAAACGGG
rnacentral:rRNA from 1 species